GCCGGAGUGGCGGAAUUGGCAGACGCGCUAGCUUGAGGGGCUAGUGGGCUUAACGGCUCGUGCAGGUUCAAGUCCUGUCUCCGGCA
rnacentral:tRNA from 1 species